GAUGAACGCUAGCGGCAGGCUUAACACAUGCAAGUCGAGGGGUAGAGGAAGCUUGCUUCCUUGAGACCGGCGCACGGGUGCGUAACGCGUAUGCAACCUACCUUUUACAGAGGGAUAGCCCAGAGAAAUUUGGAUUAAUACCUCAUAGUAUAUGUUUUUCGCAUGUUAGACAUAUUAAAGUUCCAACGGUAAAAGAUGGGCAUGCGUCCUAUUAGCUAGAUGGUAAGGUAACGGCUUACCAUGGCAACGAUAGGUAGGGGUCCUGAGAGGGAGAACCCCCACACUGGUACUGAGACACGGACACGACUCCUACGGGAGGCAGCAGUAAGGAAUAUUGGACGGUGGGCGCAAGCCUGAUCCAGCCAUGUCGCGUGCAGGACGGAGCAUCUAUGGUGUGUAAACUGCUUUUGUACGGGAAGAAACACUCCCUCGUGAGGGAGCUUGACGGUACCGUAAGAAUAAGGAUCGGCUAACUCCGUGCCAGCCGCCGCGGUAAAAC
rnacentral:rRNA from 1 species